rnacentral:rRNA from 1 species
GACGAACGCUGGCGGCGUGCUUAACACAUGCAAGUCGAACGAAGUGGCGAACGGGUGAGUAACGCGUAAUCAACCUGCCCUUCAGAGGGGGACAACAGUUGGAAACGACUGCUAAUACCGCAUACUGAAGGGGGGGAUUGCGUGUGAUUGGCUCGUUGGGGGGGUAACGGCCCACCAAGGCGAUGAUCAGUAGCCGGGCUGGGGGGGUGAACGGCCACAUUGGGACUGGGACACGGCCCAGACUCCUACGGGAGGCAGCAGGGGGGAAUCUGCCGAAAUGGACGAAAGUCUGACGGAGCAACGCCGCGGGAGUGAUGACGGCCUUCGGGUUGGAAAGCUCUGUUAAUCGGGACGCGGUACCGGAAUAGAAAGCCACGGCUAACUACGUGCCAGCAGCCGCGGUAAUUC